rnacentral:lncRNA from 1 species
CCACAACUUACUUUUGAUUUCUUUUACGAUUAUCCAUUUCCACUGAUUUCCUCUAGUGGAGUCUAACAUCCAGCCAUCUAGCAUGGUUGGGUUUCUUGAGCAAGAACACUGCAAUGAGAAGGUACUUUUAUGAAGUAGACAUAUGGAAUUUCAACAUUUCAAGUUCUUCACCAUUUUUCAGAACUGUAGAUGGCGUUAUGUCUUCCUCCGCCUGUUGUCAUCAUCAUGAGGGUGACUUGAGCCCCUGACUAUCUACUAUUCCUGCCAUGAAAGAAUGUGCACACAGUGAAUAAAUAUGAUAUUGUAAUUCUAUGAUGGAGUUCAAUUUGUUAUCUAUACAAACAUAAAUCAGAAGAGUAUAUAUCUAAUUCAUUUCCUUACGCAAGAGACAAAUUAUUCAGAAAGAACAAUAUAAAUACUGAAGAUUUGAUUGUGAAAGCCAUCUAAAGAGGUAGAAAACUAAAUAUACCAAAUUUGAAUUUGAGGAUUAGUAAAGAGUAAACCUUGAUGAGCAUGUCCAAAAUGGCCAACAGCUAUGCAAUCAAGAAACAUUUGUUGUAAAGCUAUGCCUCCAUUUAGUUUGUUAAUCAGUAUCAUCAAUCCCAUUAACCGUAGAAGCUCUUCGUGGUUUCAUAAUCUACUUGCCUGGUCCAUUGUGAAGUUCGUUAUAACUGCUUCAGACCAUACACAUAAAGCACAGUACGAUUAUAGCGAACACAUUCACAGUAGCUUAUGUUUUAGUAGCUUGUUUUCCUCUGCCAAUUGCAACACCAAAAUAUCUCUGUAAAAUUAGAAACCCUAUGAUUGUCUUACUGGACAGCUGAAAGCUUGAAGACAAAUAUCUAUGUUUUAAAGGAGCUGUAAAUAAUUAAAUAUAAUAUACCUGAUGUGGGCUUGAGAAAUCUUAAGAAGUUGCAAUGAUUCAAAGAACAUGCCAAGAAGGAGUCACCAUCGCUCUUGUUUGUCCUUUCCUAUAAUUGACCAUGUUGUAACUACAAAUAGAGAUUCAACGUAAGGAAAUGGUUAAUGCUUUCUGCAAUCUCAACAAAACUGGUCUUCUCCGAGAACCUAAUAGAAACGGGGCGUCGAGUAAAUAGAAAUAAUAAGCUCUACUUUUGGUGUAAAAUAUCAGAGCAUAAGUUAAGAAAAUAUAUCCCCUCCUCAUCCACCAAAGCAAUAUAAACAGCCAUGAGAUCACCACCCUUAUUCACAUUCUGCCUUUAUCGUACCGAAUUUGAGAGUCAAAGGAUUGAAGUGAUGAUUUGAAGAGGAUUGAGACUUACAUAUUUAUACUCGCAGUUUCACUCUAUCCAAGUAGUGGGAGAGGCACUGAAUGAGAGAUCAUGAGAGCAUUGGGAAGUUGUUGUUAAUGAUGGCAUUAUAGAUGAUGUUUGGACUCAACGCACUUGCUUAACGUCUCCGGAUUUCUUUCCGGUAUGUGGAGACCAGAGGAUAAGACACGACUGCUCUGCUCCACCGGGAAAUGUAACACCACAGUCGGUCAAAAAUCAAACCAUUCAUCUUCCCAACCUCCACAAACAUAGCCUCUUUCCUUCACACACUCUCUCACUCCUAAUCUCUCCCUCAGUUCAGUAGCAGCCGCAGCUCCUACUCAACCACCAUCUCCUUCGCCAUUUCCAUCGGAGACAAACUCCCCGACUCCACUCUCUCCUAGUCCUAGCUCGAUCGAUCCCCGUCUCCUCCCUAACUGCCGGGAAGAAAGCCAUUCUCUUUGCUGUCCCAUGAGCUUUCACUCCAACCUGAUCGCAGAAACACGUCCAUGAAUUCAUUAAAGCCGGAGAGCUCAAAUCCAAAACAAAGAAGGCAGUAACAACGGAAAUUGAAGCAUGAAAUGAUGAAUUAUACAAUACAAACUCAAUUAUUUAUACUUGCAGAUUCACCGACUUAAAGAAGAAGAGAUGCACUGAAUGAGAAACAGUGGAAUGAAUAGGGAUAAUGAGUUAAUGACGACGAUUUAAUAUAAUCCGUAACAGUACUGGUUUUCCAUUGCCGGUGAGAAGAACUCGAAUCGAUACGAACAGUGGAUUCACGCCGUUAUUAAACGCUUCUCGCAGAAAUACAAAGAAUCCUUUCUUAAAUUUUAGAUUAGCCAUUCUUGAAGAAAGUGAGAAGACGAAGGUUUAAACGGCCUAACUUCUUUUUACAUCAUUCAACUCAAUUAAAGUUAUUCAAAACUUACAAAAUCUUAGCUCGCAGGCCCAAUAGAAACCAAACGAAAGCGUGAUAAAUUUUGCUAUGAGACACGUGUCGCCUUCUGCUGUUUCUAAUUGAUGACGUGUCUCUCUCACAGGAGAGAAACAUAUUUAUAUAUAUAUACUAGGGUAGGCCCGAAUUACUGUUUAUGUUGAAAUCAUAGUCUUUCGACAUGCUAUUAGAGUGGAAAUAAUGAUUAUCUGAAGUUGCAUUCUUAUUAAAAUUAGAAUGUUAUAUUGAAUGCGAAGAAGGUAGUAAAGCAAAGCUAAUAAAAAUAAGAAAAUAUUGAAACACGAAAGUGUGAAAACUAAGUACUGGUCGAUGAGUGUAUGCACUUGUUAGUCACUCUAAACCAACUCCAAAAACUUCUCCAUUUAUUUAUAGUAAUAAAAUGCAUCGUCUUCAAGAUUAUUGAGAUGGCACUUUCUUGGUGGCAUUAUAAAGAUCAUAUUAGUUCCAUAACACUUCUCUUUCAAUAUAGAGAUGCGGCGUAAGGAACGUUUGGCUGGUAUUGAGAUAUUCUAUUUUAUUAAUUUAAGUUGUUGGUUAGUUUGUUUGUAAGUAAUUUUUGUUUUGAAUUUUUUUUCUUUUAUGUCAUCACCAUGAUUGAGUUGUUAUGUCAUUUGCAGUUGAAUAAUUUGUAUCAAACAACUAAUGUAUACAACUCUGUUUGAGGCUCUCACCAGCCGUAAGGCCUUUGCAUAAUUUUCCAAAAAGAAAAUUUCAACUUUAGUGAGAAAUUGACAAACCAAAUAUUAGCCAUCCAGCUGGGUCGAAAUAGUGUUCAUGGGUUGAGAAUGUUGUUUCUGAUGUUCAUCGUUUCAUUUCUUAGGUUUAUUGUUGGGUGAUAAUCGAUUUUGGUAAAAUAAGUUUUACUGUUUGUUAGGACCAAAUAUGAGUAUCUUUGGACCAUUUUUUGGUUAGUCUUAAAUCUUAAGCAUGGGGAUUUCAGAUUAUGGGAGAAGAAAUUCAUAAUAGUUUCUAUGUUCCAUUCGAGAUUAGCUAUCAAGAUGUUUUUGUUGUCAAGAUUUAGAGAACCAAUUGGUUGAAAUCGGUUUCUUUGAAGAGAUCCUAAGUUGCAUUCAAGCUAAAUUAUGAUAUUUUUUUUCUAUAAACAGAGAGGAUUAUUUUUUUAAACAACUAACAUCAUAAAAGUUGCUUAGAACAUCUUCAAGACAUUUCUAUAUUUAUUUCUAUAAUAAUAUUUAGAGACAUAUAUAAACGAUUUAACCCACUUGUAUUUAUCUUCCAAAAUAACCAGUUUUAUUUCUCUUCUGUAAACAUAUUUUUUUACGUACUUUAUGAUGAGAUGUUAUUUUACAGAAAAGAAUUAGAGUAAACUUAAACAUUAUCAUAGUUUCUUUUAAAAUGUAGUAUAAUACAUUAUAAAUUUUUUUAUGUUGACCAAUUGAUGAUUAUUUCUGUCAGAUAGAUAUACAGACAAUGGAACUUUGUAGCAUAAGUGAAUUAUAUUUUCACUCAAAAAAGUAAAUGGCACUAUUAUUUUAUUGAUGAAAACUAUUAAAAAUAUGAUAGCAAAAAGAAAUGAUCGUUAGGGAAUCAAUUGAUGAACUUAGCAGUAGCAUGUGUUACUCAGUGCCGUGCCUACUGAAAAAAAAAAGCCUUCGUUUUAGGUAUCAUUGUAACAUAUAAAUACAUUUUUACUAAAACUAUCAAAUAGCUAAAAUAAAUAAUAGCUGUAAAUGAACUCAUAAAAAUAGAUAAGAACGAAUUAACACGAAAUGUAUAUGUCAACAGAGCAAUUGCCACUACGUACGCUUGUCAUCAAAUAGGAAAUAUACACCAAAAGCGAAACUCAGAUUCUAAAGCCUUGUUCUAAAAAAAGAAGAAGUGAGAAACACAGUUACACAGAUAUUGUUUCCACAACUUACUUUUGAUUUCUUUUACGAUUAUCCAUUUCCACUGAUUUCCUCUAGUGGAGUCUAACAUCCAGCCAUCUAGCAUGGUUGGGUUUCUUGAGCAAGAACACUGCAAUGAGAAGGUACUUUUAUGAAGUAGACAUAUGGAAUUUCAACAUUUCAAGUUCUUCACCAUUUUUCAGAACUGUAGAUGGCGUUAUGUCUUCCUCCGCCUGUUGUCAUCAUCAUGAGGGUGACUUGAGC